CCACUGCAUUCCAGUCUGACCAACAGGGCAAGACCCUGUCUCUAAAAAGAAAAAAACAUGCAGAUUUUUACAUGAAUAUGGGAGUAAUCUUCAUAGAAAAAUAAAGACCCAAGGCAGCAGUUAGAGUCUAAUAGAGUGCCUAUGUAUCAAGUUGGACAAAGCAAUACAUUGUGAAAAUGUGACAAGCCAAAGGGGAAUGGGCUAGGCGAGUUAGUCAUGAAGAAAUGACUAAGAAGAUAGGGGUUAAUUUAGCAAGAUUUAUACAGAUUUUCCUCGGCCUGAGCUUCUCGUUUUUCUUGUCUUUGGUGAUAAAAAUUAUACUUCCCUUCUGGUACAGGGAGGGCAUCUUUCACAUGGGUGUUUCAUCUAGUGCUUUCAGGAAGGAAAAGGAAAGUCAGAGUGUCCUUUUUGCAUCUGCUGUUUUUCAAGUGCUUUUAACUCAAAAUAGUCAAUAUACCAAGUGGCAUCCUUUGGGAUGGCAUGCUCUGAAUUCCUUCAGCCACUAACAACACAAGUUUGAAAUCCAGUUUUCCUUCCCCCUCUAUAAUGAAACGGCUUUCUUUUGUGGAGCACGUUCUCUUCAGAGUAUCACUUAAGAUACUUUGGUCAAAGUUUAAGCUCUGAUUUAUGAUCAUGAUUCCCUUUGUCGGUUUGUGUUGUGUCUGUCAGUAGACUUGGCCUCCGCCUCCCGGAUCACCUUCUCCUUACAUGGAACGUGGAAUUCAACUUAGGGUGGAAGCAAGAAGCAUUAAACCAUCUGUUGAAAAUCUGAAACAAUCUGGAAGUUAAAACAAACUAGCUGCGAAGGAGGUACGGAAGAAGAUCAUGGAAAGUUGGACAGAGCACAGACGAGUGCAGUAAAGAAUGAAAACCUGUAUUCACAAACCAUAUGGAUCUAGGAGUAAAAAUGGUUGGAGUUUCGUGUGAUCAUGGCUCACUGGAGCCUCACAUUCCUGGGCUCCAGCCUGACUCAGCCUCCAAAAUAGAUGGGACUACAGGCAUAUAUCACCACCAUGCCUAGGUAACUUUUUUUAACUUUUAUUUUGUAGAGACAGAGUCUUGCUAUGUUGCCCAGGCUUGUCUUGAACUCCUGGCUUCAAGUGAUCCUCCCACCUCAGCCUCUCAAAGUGCUGACAUUACAGGCAUGAGCCACAGCACCCAGCCAUAAAUAUCUUUUAUGAAGUGCACAAAAUAUUUGUAGAGCACACUGAGGUAAAUCUGGAAAAGAUUUGAAGGCAUUUAUGUAGUGUUUGGUGACAUAUAAUUAUAAAAACUAAAAUGUAAAAGUUUAAAUGUAGAUUUUACCA